rnacentral:rRNA from 1 species
UACGUAGGGGGCAAGCGUUGUCCGGAAUCAUUGGGCGUAAAGAGCGUGUAGGCGGCCAGAAAAGUCCGCUGUGAAAACUCGAGGCUCAACUUCGAGCUGUCGGUGGAAACUUUCUGGCUAGAGUCCGGAAGAGGAGAAUGGAAUUCCUGGUGUAGCGGUGAAAUGCGCAGAUAUCAGGAAGAACACCCGUGGCGAAGGCGGUUCUCUGGGAAGGUACUGACGCUGAGACGCGAAAGCGUGGGGAGCGAACAGG